UUCGUAAUGCAGGGGAACCCCGAACCACACGAUGGCGACGGGUUGAGAUAGGCGGACGCCUGACCCUUAGAACCUGUUGGUUAACACCAUCGUAGGGAGCAACGUCAUGGACGAG
rnacentral:ncRNA from 1 species